UGGCAGAAUAUUUUUUAAUUUUAAUAAUAUGAUUUAAAGAAACCCAAAACACAUGGAAAGCAUUAAACUUUGCUGUUAAACAGUAAAGUACAAAAGAAAACAAAUUUGAAACACUUACAUAUUAAAGUAGAAAAAUCUUUGAGCAAACAGUGAAUGCUUGAAAGAUGUUUUUUUUUUGUUUUUUGAAAAUAGAAUACAAGAGUCAUAAAGAUGCCUAGACAUAAUUUCCCAGCCAUGUCACUGUUAGGAAUUUUGGAAUUUAUGCAAAGGUAAUAACUCAAUAACAGCAAAAAGCAAAAUGUACAAAGAUGUUCAUGACACUACAAUAGCAAAAAAGCAAGCAAAUAAACAAAAAGUUAAAGACAACUCCAAGGUCUCAAGUAAGGGAAUGGCAUUAUUAAUUAUAAAACAGCAUCAAAAAUUAUAUUAGCUAGUCAUGAAAAUGCAAACUUUAAAAGGAAAAUGCUUAUUAUGUAAUGUUAAGUGAAAAAAAUUCAGGCCAUAAAAUGAAAUAUACAUUAUGCAUGCAUGAUGAAAAGACAAGAAAUAGAUAAGAAUGUGCAAAAAUACAAAUAGUUGGAUAUGGUGUGGGAUUCUGGCUUGUUUUCUGUUUUAAAGACAUUACAUCAUCUUUUCAAUGACAAACUACAUUUUAAGUAAUUGAAAACAAAGUCUCAUUAGCCUUGUCCUUGUAUAAAUUCCCAGAGAACACAUUAUUCUUAUUCAUUUCCACCUCUGCUACUUGUCUUUGAUUUGGACCAGCUCCAUUCUAUUUUCCCACUUCUCAGUCAUCUAACAAGACUAGAAAAAGACCCCCAUCAAACAAAGAAGCAAAAUGCACCAAGUUUAGCAGAAGCUGUGAAUCCAAAUCAGCGAACAUUGGCUGACUGGAUCUAAUACCUUGACCCCAACAUUGAAAAGGCAGACCCAGAUUCUUCAAUGACCACAAGAGGCCUUGGUUUAAGAAGCCUGCCAACGAAGCACAAUGUUCCCAUCCUCAGAAAUAGACCCCGGCGGAGCUUCCAGGGGCCCAUAAAAGUCUGCACUCUUGGAAGAAUGUGACAACUCUGGCAACAAAUACAGAUUCGUCAUUCUCUAUAUUAAGGGAAUGUUCAGUUGCAUCAGGCUUUUUUAACAGGGCCAACACUUAGUGCAAUUUUGAGGUUGGCAAAGUGAAUUUUCACCUACCCCAAGGCUUCUUUCCCUGCCUCCAGAUGAUCAAUAAAAUCACCUCAUGUUACAGUUUCAAAGUCCUUUCACAUCCAAUUUCUCAUCUGAAUCUUUCAUCAGCCCAAUGAGGUGGGUGUUAUUAUUCACUUGACUUUUCAGAAGAGAAUAUUGAGGCUUAGGGAAGUGAAGCGACUUGUCUAAAGCCACCCAGCAAGUCUGGGACUGAAUGAGACACAAGCCCCAUCCUAACUUCUGGUCAGUUCUCCUUCCAUUUACCCUAGGCACUCAUCCCUCUUCCAGUUCAUAAGGAGAGCUGACCCAGUGCACCUGCUGACAGCGGCACUCAGCGUGCUGCCAUCCCAGGGAUACCUAUGUUUUAAAGGAAGGCAGAUGGGGAAAGACAGCAUGUAGCCUGUAAGAAGGAAAAGUCAAGUGGAAUUCCAAAGAAGAUGCUGAAAUAGCUGACUUAGCAGCUCUAGGGAACUAUAGAGAAAAACACUGAGAGGUAGAGAGAGCUAUGAGGAACCCCUGGGGAGACAGAAACUCUUUUUAACUGUCAAGUAUGUGUAUCUGGAAAGGUCUUAGCCUAAAGCAAAAGGUAUCCAGGCUGCUGUAGAAGGAUGAAAUAAAAGCUGUUGCUUCUUAGACUUCAUUUCUCCUCCCUCUCACUCUCACUGUUUUGGGACAGACACGGCACGAGCUUAGAACUCUUGAACAAGUGCUCCUGGGAUGUAAAACUAGGGUAGUGUGGAAGCCCUGUGCCUGGGUGGGAGUGAGAAAAAAAAUAGACAAUGAUGGAUGGGCCACAGGUGGUCACUGCCCAACUCUCUCCCUCUAAACCGCCAGGGCUGGUGGAUUACCAUCGCCUUUCCCGGAUGCUAGUUCUUUCUAAAGUAAAGAAUACAUCUGAGGAGCUGUGUGGUGGAUGAGGAGUGAUAUACUCUGGUUUCCUGAUGCCUGAAACCCACCACUCUAGGUGCAUGCUUCGCUCUAUCCCCAUCUCAAACUCAUCAAGGCAGGUCAGUGCAGACGGAAGUUUGACCUUCAACCCUUCAGUCAUUGGCAUUGCUGGACAGAAUAAUCUAUACCCUAAAGAAAUGGAAGCUGGAUCUAAAGAGAAGCACUAAUUUUUUUAAAAAAGAAAGAAAAAGGAAAACCAACAACUUGAAUUAUAGAUUCCAUAGAAACCAGAGGUAUUAGAAUGGACAGAUUAAAAAUUUAUGUAUGCAUAUUUUUAAAUAAGGUAUAAUAUUAGCAAUAUGAAAUGAAAACAAGAAAUCAUAAAAAGAAUCAAGUAUAGGCCGGGCGUGGUGGCUCACGCCUGUAAUCCCAGCACUUUGGGAGGCUGAGGCUGGUGGAUCACCUGAGGUAGGAGUUCGAGACCAGCCUGACCCACAUGGUGAAACCCUGUGUCUACUAAAAAUACAAAAAUUAGCUGGGCAUGUUGGUGUGCACCUGUAAUCCCAGCUACUUGGGAGGCUGAGGCAAGGGAAUUGCUUGAACCUGGGAGGCAGAGGUUGCAGUGAGCCGAGAUCGUGCCACUGCACUCCAGCCUGGGUCUCAGAGUGAGACUCCAUUUCAAAAAAAAAAAAAAAAAGGAAUCAAGUAUAAAUUUAGGUGUGACAAAUAUAAUAGUUAAGAUAAUGAUGAUAACUAGUAGAAAAGAUUCUGUUGAGAAAUGACUUAGUGAAUGAGGAGAUCACUAAGUCAAAAUUUAUCUCAAUGCAAUAAGAGCUAUUUAUGACACAGCCACAGCCAAUAUCAUACUGAAUGGCAAAAGCUGGAAGCAUUCCCUUUGAAAACCGGCAGAAGACAAGGAUGCCCUCCCUCACCACUCCUAUUCAGCAUAGUAUUGGAAGUUCUGUCCAGGGCAACCAGGCAAGAGAAAGAAAUAAAGGGUAUUCAAAUGGGAAGAGAGGAAGUCAAAUGCUCUCUGUUUCCAGAUGACAUGAAUGUCUAUUUGAAAACCCCAUUGUCUCAGCCCAAAAUCUCCUUAAGCUGAUAAGCAACUUCAGCAAAGUCUCAGGAUACAAAAUCAAUGUGCAAAAAUCACAAGCAUUCCUAUAUACCAAUAAUAGACAAACAGAGAGCCAAAUCAUGAGUGAACUCCCAUUCACAAUUGCUACAAAGGGAAUAAAAUACCUAAGAAUACAGCUUACAAGGGUUGUGAAGGACUCUUCAAGGACAGCUACAAACUACUGCUCAAGGAAAUAAGAGAGGACAUAAACAAAUGGAAAAGCAUUCCAUGCUCAUAGAUAGGAAGAAUCAAUAUCAUGAAAAUGGCCAUACUGCCCAAAGUAAUUUAUAGAU
rnacentral:lncRNA from 1 species